CAGUAGCCACGGUAAUACGUAGGUGGCAAGCGUUGUCCGGAAUUAUUGGGCGUAAAGGGCUCGCAGGCGGUUUCUUAAGUCUGAUGUGAAAGCCCCCGGCUCAACCGGGGAGGGUCAUUGGAAACUGGGAAACUUGAGUGCAGAAGAGGAGAGUGAAAUUCCACGUGUAGCGGUGAAAUGCGUAGAGAUGUGGAGGAACACCAGUGGCGAAGGCGACUCUCUGGUCUGUAACUGACGCUGAGGAGCGAAAGCGUGGGGAGCGAACAGGAUUAGAUACCCGCGUAGUCCCUGUCUCUUAUAC
rnacentral:rRNA from 1 species